UACGUAGGGGGCAAGCGUUGUCCGGAAUCAUUGGGCGUAAAGAGCGCGUAGGCGGCCCGAUAAGUCCGCUGUGAAAGUCAAGGGCUUAACCCUUGAAUGCCGGUGGAAACUGUCGGGCUAGAGUCCGGAAGAGGCGAGUGGAAUUCCUGGUGUAGCGGUGAAAUGCGCAGAUAUCAGAGGAACACCGAUUGCGAAGGCAGCUCGCUGGGACGUAACUGACGCUGAGACGCGAAAGCGUGGGGAGCAAACAGG
rnacentral:rRNA from 1 species